GAUGAACGCUAGCGGCAGGCUUAAUACAUGCAAGUCGAGGGGCAGCAGCUUUACAGCAAUAUAGAGGCUGGCGACCGGCAAACGGGUGCGGAACACGUACACAACCUUCCUUGAAUAGGGGGAUAGCCCAUAGAAAUGUGGAUUAAUACCCCGUAAUAUAGCGGUGUGGCAUCACACUGUUAUUAUAGUUUCGGCGAUUCGAGAUGGGUGUGCGGCUGAUUAGGUAGUUGGCGGGGUAAAGGCCCACCAAGCCUUCGAUCAGUAGCUGAUGUGAGAGCAUGAUCAGCCACACGGGCACUGAGACACGGGCCCGACUCCUACGGGAGGCAGCAGUAAGGAAUAUUGGUCAAUGGACGCAAGUCUGAACCAGCCAUGCCGCGUGACGGAUGAAUAUUUCUUUAUUGCCUUCUCUU
rnacentral:rRNA from 1 species